rnacentral:rRNA from 1 species
UUAGUGGCGCACGGGUGAGUAACACGUGGGAACCUGCCUCUUGGUUCGGAAUAACUGCGGGAAACUGCAGCUAAUACCGGAUACGCCCUACGGGGGAAAGAUUUAUUGCCGAGAGAGGGGCCCGCGUCCGAUUAGGUAGUUGGUGGGGUAAUGGCCUACCAAGCCGACGAUCGGUAGCUGGUCUGAGAGGAUGAUCAGCCACACUGGGACUGAGACACGGCCCAGACUCCUACGGGAGGCAGCAGUGGGGAAUAUUGGACAAUGGGCGCAAGCCUGAUCCAGCAAUGCCGCGUGAGUGAUGAAGGCCUUAGGGUUGUAAAGCUCUUUCGGCGGGGACGAUGAUGACGGUACCCGCAGAAGAAGCCCCGGCUAACUUCGUGCCAGCAGCCGCGGUAAUACGAAGGGGGCUAGCGUUGUUCGGAAUUACUGGGCGUAAAGGGCGCGUAGGCGGCCUAGCAAGUUAGAAGUGAAAGCCCCGGGCUCAACCUGGGAAUUGCUUUUGAUACUGCUUGGCUUGAGUUCGGGAGAGGUGAGUGGAAUUCCCAGUGUAGAGGUGAAAUUCGUAGAUAUUGGGAAGAACACCAGUGGCGAAGGCGGCUCACUGGACCGACACUGACGCUGAG